ACAGCAGCAGCCGCGGGAAUACGUAGGGUGCGAGCGUUAAUCGGAAUUACUGGGCGUAAAGCGUGCGCAGGCGGUUUGUUAAGACAGAUGUGAAAUCCCCGGGCUUAACCUGGGAACUGCAUUUGUGACUGGCCGGCUAGAGUAUGGCAGAGGGAGGUGGAAUUCCACGUGUAGCAGUGAAAUGCGUAGAUAUGUGGAGGAACACCGAUGGCGAAGGCAGCCUCCUGGGCCAAUACUGACGCUCAUGCACGAAAGCGUGGGGAGCAAACAGGAUUAGAUACCCCCGUAGUCCCUGUCUCUUAUAC
rnacentral:rRNA from 1 species